rnacentral:rRNA from 1 species
UACGGGUGGCAGCAGUGGGGAAUAUUGUACAAUGGGCGAAAGCCUGAUGCAGCGACGCCGCGUGAGGGAUGACGGCCUUCGGGUUGUAAACCUCUUUCAGCAGGGAAGAAGCGAGAGUGACGGUACCUGCAGAAGAAGCGCCGGCUAACUACGUGUCAGCAGCCGCGGUAAUACGUAGGGCGCAAGCGUUGUCCGGAAUUAUUGGGCGUAAAGAGCUCGUAGGCGGCUUGUCGCGUCGGUUGUGAAAGCCCGGGGCUUAACCCCGGGUCUGCAGUCGAUACGGGCAGGCUAGAGUUCGGUAGGGGAGAUCGGAAUUCCUGGUGUAGCGGUGAAAUGCGCAGAUAUCAGGAGGAACACCGGUGGCGAAGGCGGAUCUCUGGGCCGAUACUGACGCUGAGGAGCGAAAGCGUGGGGAGCGAACAGGAUUAGAUACCCCGGUAGUAUCUUCUAGA